AACGAACGCUGGCGGCAUGCCUAACACAUGCAAGUCGAACGCCUGUAGCAAUACAGGAGUGGCAGACGGGUGCAUAACACGUGGGAACCUACCCUUGGGUUCGGAAUAACCGCGGGAAACUGCGGCUAAAUACCGGAUACGUCCUGUGGGAGAAAGAUUCAUCGCCCUUGGAGGGGCCCGCGUCGGAUUAGCUAGUUGGUGAGGUAACGGCUCACCAAGGCGACGAUCCGUAGCUGAUCUGAGAGGAUGAUCAGCCACACUGGAACUGAGACACGGUCCAGACUCCUACGGGAGGCAGCAGUGGGGAAUAUUGGACAAUGGGCGCAAGCCUGAUCCAGCAAUGCCGCGUGGGUGAUGAAGGCCUUCGGGUUGUAAAGCCUUUGGCAGGACGAUGAUGACGGUACCUGCAGAAUAAGCCCGGCUAACUUCGUGCCAGCAGCCGCGGUAA
rnacentral:rRNA from 1 species